UGGCGGACGGGUGAGUAACGCGUAAAGAACUUGUCCUUUAGACUGGGAUAACAGAGGGAAACUUCUGAUAAUACUGGAUAAGUUAGUAUAUCGCAUGAUAUGCAAAUGAAAGCUACGGCACUAAAGGAGAGCUUUGCGUCCUAUUAGCUAGUUGGUAAGGUAAGAGCUUACCAAGGCGAUGAUAGGUAGCCGGCCUGAGAGGGUGGACGGCCACAAGGGGACUGAGAUACGGCCCUUACUCCUACGGGAGGCAGCAGAC
rnacentral:rRNA from 1 species